AUGGUAGAAACAAUGUUUUUGUGCAACACGAGUGCCAUAAAGGACUGGAGCUAUUUUCUGUCGCAGAUACUGCCCCUGAUGAAUAAAACUACAGGCUUGGUAAACAUGGACAAAGCGGAAGAUGUGACGACCACCAUGGUGACGGCUCUGCAGCCGGACAGCGCCAUGAGCGCGAGUAAGCCGCCUCUCAACUCCAACCAUACCUCGGGCAUGGAGCACGUCUUUCAGUACUCUUAUUCGGAGAGUGACCUGCUGUACACGGACUACCGGACCCCUGCGCGAGACUCCAUCCCGCUGCCCAAAGCGGUUCUCUACCUGGUCAUGGCAGCGCUGGUGGUGGUGGCGGUGGCGUAUGCGAUAGUAGGACACCUGGUCAAAGAUGUGGUUAAUGACUUUGUCGGUGGAGGCAGGUCGAUGGUUGCUGAAGGUGACGGAGGUGAAACCAGUGAACCAGGUAAAAAAAACAAAGCUCACAUGGGUCACAGUCUGCAGCACUUAGCUUUGCCACAGAGACAUGCUGACCCCCCUUGAACUGGUCAGCAGUGAGAACUGACCUGUCUGUCUGCCUGCUCCUGACCUGACAUUCCCACCUUCAUAUGAAAACUCACACGUACACAUUCACACAAACACACAGGUGACACGGUGUCUGCUCUCCUGGGCAUUUUCCAGAGGUGUAAAUGUAGAGGAUGUGUGUUUUAUGGCUGCUUUCUCACCAGAGGAGGGUUGCAAAGACAUUGCCAAGUCUCCUGGACACAGCAAGAUGCUUCACUCUUCUGACAUGGUGCAACAGCAAAAAAGCAAAACAACCUGUUGUAGACAUAUAAAGAAGCAUCAGUGGAGGAUGUACCAAUGAAUUAGAGACAGCACAGAUUCUUUUAAAAAGGGUUUAUUACUAAUUGGGUCUUAUUUUCAUAGUUUUGGUCUUAACAUUGUAGUCAAAAUGUUAAUUUGCUGUGAUCUGGGAAGAUGUGCAUGCAGUUUUCCUGUGCACUGAGGGUUUAUUACUGACAGUUCAGCGGCACUCACUUUUCAGGGCCUAUCCUCACGAAUACGCGGCCUCACCCAAUACAAUGUCGUUUCGAAAAAAUCUCCGUAAACACAGCGUCGUUUCCAGAAAUAUCUGCGUCCACACAGAUUCAUUGAAACGACCCAAAACGCUGUAGUACAUAUGCCAGGCCUGUAUGUGGCGCUGUGACACCGCCACACCAAUACACUAAAACCGGAAGGGAACCCAUGGAGCAUGCGCUGUUUACAAACAAGUAGUAGUAGUCCGCAGUCAGUUUUCGCUGUCCAGACGACUCUGGGCAAUCCGGCGUUUUCGGAUUUUCCCACUCUGGGACAGGUUUCCAAAAAAUACUGUUUUCACACCCCGAAAACGCCGUAUCCAUCUGGACGCGAUACGACAAAGUAUUUAUCCGGAUUCGAGAAAAACGUAUUCGUGAGGACAGGCCCUUAGUUUAACCAAUGAAGUGGUUUCGAUAAUCUGGCUAAACCUGUUUUAUGAUUCUUGACCUGUUGAUCCUUCAAAGUUAUUGUUUGUAUUGUGAUUUUUUAAAGGGUUUUUGUGGCAACUAGCGGUAAAGUUGCAGAAUGCAACCAACUAAAUACUGCUAGCCUUCCAAGUGUGAGGGAGAAAAACUCACAAAAAAUGUGAAAUGCAUUGUUGGUUUGUAAUUUCUGGACUACUAUGGUGGACUCCGUAAAAGAGGACCCGCUUCCUCUGUAGAUUAAACACAGCUCAUUCUAACAAAAACACAACAAUUCUUAUUUUCAGUGGAUUAUAAACAUACCUAUAAUUCCAUUUCUGUUUUGUUUUUUCAUCAGUCUUGCGCCUGCCGUAGUUUCUCCUACACACUUGGAAGUCAGCAGUAUUUAGUUGGUUGCAAUCUGCAAAUUUAUUCACUAGAUGCUACUAAAUCCUACACACUGGUCCUUCAAAAGUAGAACAACAUAGUUCCAGCCUGUAUUGCAAAAAAAGUUGACUAUUAGCUGGACAGUAAGACAGCAAUGUUCAGAGAGACUUAGUAAGAAAAAACAACCUGAAACUAGGUGUUUAAGUGAGGGGACCAUAGGAUUUUGAAAAGUGAGGUGGACACCUCGCCCCAUCACCAGUAGAAAUUACAUCCAUGCGGUCGUGUGUCAGUUCUGGGGGUCUGAGGAAUCCCAUUCUGCCUUCUGUCUGUUCUUCACACUCACAACUGUCAGCCUUAAUCUCAGCUCCUCAUCUGACAGAACAAUGAUUGAUGUGUCCCAAUUCAAACAGGCUCCACCACACAUGAUGGUGCUGCUGUGCGCCAGACAUCCCUCUCAGAAACAAUUUUAUGGUGCUUUGCCUCUAAUGGAAUUACAGAGGCUGAACCCAUCAUAACUUUCUGUCAGAUGAAGUUUGCAGCCUUGUUCUGCACACGUUUUAAAUACUCAGCUUACUUGUUUUUGCCCCGCCAACAUGAAUGUUUCACCACGUACGCGUUCACGCUUUAUACCUCCACUCCCCCGAGGCUUACAAACUGUGGCGGUGGUGGAAUCAGUAGUCGGCUCCUUUAUUUAAAGGUCCAGGGUAACAUUAGGAGGAUCUAUUGGCAGAACAACCUCCUAAGUCUUUAAAUAUUGCCGCUCUGCUUCAAAAGAUGACGCUGAAGGUAUCCCUCUAGCAUCAUUCUUGGACGCAAAGUCAGGUGAUGCAGUUGACUGUAAGCACGGAGUGUCAGGAUACAGAGAAUGUGGGGUUGAUAGAUUACUCAAACAAGCACAGGACUUAGUUAACUUAUGUAACAUGCUUAAUUUGUGUACUUAAGUUAUGUCAGGUACAAAAUGUAACGAUCUUUUCCUAAACCUAACCUAAAUAUGACGUUGUAUGUAUCCCUGUAUAGCUAAUUCCUUCUGUCCUUCAUUCUGGAAACAAGAAAAGAAGAAAGAAACAAAGAAAGAAACAACGUUUCACAUGUUAAAUUCCAAAAUCCAAAGUCUCCAAAAUGGAAAAUACCAGAAAGUACCAAAAUCUCAAAUAUUAAAUCUGCAUUCAUUGUUUUUUUGACUAUUCAAGGUCAGAUGAACACAGCAAACUGAAAAAAAACACAGAUUCUAAGAUAUCACUUUAUGACGUUGCUAUGGAUAAUUUAGGCACAUCCGGCAAACACAUUAUUAUUGUGUUUGUUUCCACCUUAAUUUUCUCUCUCCUUUUUGCUCUGGUUUGGUCUCUACCAACUCCUGAGAAAAAUAUCAUAGCUGCUAAAUGCUCCACUUUCCUCACCAGCCAGCCUCUAACUUUUCUGCGGCUGGAAACGAGGUUGAUGAGAGCACUGACUGCAGCAGGGCUGUAGCUACCAUUGAGGACCCUGAAGUUAUGUUCCUGAUAUUUUGGGUGAAAAAAUAAAUAUAUUUAAGUACGGUUACAGCACUUGACAAACAAUGAUCCACAUCUAACCCCUUUGUCUUUCUUCAGGGUGGGUGUUAGGCUCUCGUCGCAACAAGACGGAGAUAAACUGCAUCACCAACAACAUGAACGAGAUGAGCGAGCUGGGCGAGAGGCCCCGGCUGGUGGAAAUGAGCUACAUAUCCAUGAACCACACUAACUGCCUGAGCUCCAGCAGGCCGGAGGAGAUAGUGGUCACCAUAGAUGAGACGCUGCAGCAGCAGCGACCUCCGGACACUCACUCUGGGACUUAACUGCGACCUCCUGACCUUCCCUGAGAGAAAUAAAGCAGCGUAUUUGCUUGCAUUUCUUGUUCAAGUGGAUUUAAAAGUCUUUCAUGAAUCAAAGCUCUAUCCACUGUUUUAUCACCUGCAGGUGGGCUGUUAACACCUGUGCAAUGUUGGGCCAGAAGGGACUUUGAACUGUCGACCCGGGCUGGAACAUUGGAGGCUUCAGAUGCUGAUGUUUGUAUCAGAUUGGACUCCUUUCUGCAGAGAUGGCUUGAGAGGACGGCUGCAGUUUUAUUUUUUUGGACAGGCAGCUGAGAAAAAGGUGUUUUUUUUGUUAUUGUACUUCCCCCUUUUUCAAGUGACCCCCUUGUGAAAAUACCGCUCUGUUAAUGUAGACACUUGCAGUUCACUGUAACCACAAACAGUAUGUAACCACUCUAAAUACAUGAUACACGCCGGGCAGUGCUUAUUGUAAUAUUGCUGCUAGCAAGGUUAAACACAAAACAAUUACGUCAACAUUUUUUAUUAAUUGUGUGACACUUAAAGUUUUUUGUAAUUAUUGUAAAGUUUAUAUCAAGCAGCUCAACUGACACAGGGAGGCUCCAAAUGUUAACACCUGCUUCUUUCUUCUGUAAUAAUGCUGUAAUUACUGGUUGCAAAAAAAGUUCACUACACAGUGAUAAAAAGUAUUUUGUAGUAGUCAUGUUAUUAGCUUGAUGUGAACAAGUGCUAAGUCACCUUUAAGAGCUCUGGUUGCACCUGAUUGCAAAAAAUAUUAAAUAUAAAAGUUUCAAAGCCAUUGCUGUUAUGUUAAAAAAAACAGAGUCAAACAGAGUGACUGUCAUGCUUUAUGAUUUCUUGGUAUUCUUGGCAUCACCUUUGAAGCAAAAAGUGUUCAUGGCUUGUUCCUUUUUCUAAUGUUUAAUAUUUCGUGUGACAUGGCGUUUGUCAGAGCCUUUGUUUACCUGUAUUACCUCACUGUUAAGGGCUACGUACUGCUGCUGAUGAGUCUGGGACACCAUCUCAAAGCUUCAACCGACGGGGCUUAUUUUUCUGUGCAUGCUGGGAUGCAUGCAUUUUACUCUGCACACACACCUACUGUACACUGUGUUUUUGGGAAGAUAUCUACUGAAGUUACUGACGUUUUUGACUAUUUCAAUGUAUGAAUAAACAUUUUUUACACACUUGCACAUAUUUGGGGCAAACUAGAGUAAAGCGGGACUUGACUUCAGAUGGUAGGGUUCCGAUUUUAAGGGCAAUAUAAUAAAAAUGGUGUUGUAACUGUGCAGCAGUGAUCAUUUCCCAGACAUUAAAUGUAACGGUUCAAAAUCUGAACCUGCAAAAAAGCUCAUUUUUUUCCCACCGCCUUGAUGCCGUCAAUAACUGUAUUCUUUCAAGUCAUCUAAUAAAUAUUCAUGAACAAAUGUG
rnacentral:lncRNA from 1 species